rnacentral:tRNA from 1 species
UGGAUUAUAUUUAGCGAUUAAGGUUAUUUACAAUAAUUUUAUAGAUGUGCAAUUCAUCUUAAUCUGA